CCAGAUAGCAAAAAAUAUCCGCAGGACUUCUUUUUGCCGCCAGCCCUAAGCUGUCGGCUAUAGGUGCGUCCCGCUGGCGGGGAUGAAACGUUUGCCGCCGAAUACGUCACUCCCCUCUCUUGCGAUUUGCCGCCGGCAUGCAGCCGGCGGCCCGACUGCUUAAUUUUCUCUGGCGGUUGCCUCCGUCUAAUAGACCGCGGCAGGCUGGCGGCAAGCCGCUUUGAAAUCUUCUCAAACUCAACAUUGGCCAUUGGAGUUAAAGUACUGACAGCAUUUUAACUUUCACAUUUGAGCGGUUAUAAAAUCAUAAUAGCCUAUAUAUGUGAAUUAUAUCAAAUAGGAUAGUUGUUUUGCUCCAAAGCAAAGAUAUGUAAGUUAUGUUUAUACGAAUGUGUUUUAAGUUAGUUUCCUUUUUUACACCCUGAGUUCAAGCAUGUUUCACAUGCAUCUAAAGCCAGUAGGGUUUAUAACAGAUUCUUGAAGUUUUAGGAAAUUACAUUUAAAUUACUUUUAAACUCUGAAGCGAUUAUACAGUAAUAUAUGUGAAAUAUAUCGAAUUAUUUUAUCACUUAGGUGAACAUUUGUACAUGUCUUUGAUUUAUGCACUUGACUGGAAAUUUCCUUUAUGUCUUUCAUUAUUUUCCAACAUCGAUUUAAUUUUUUUUACCUUUUACAUGUACAAGGAUUAUUUUGCGAUUGCGACCUGUACAAAUUAAUUGAGAGAAAAAAGAAAGUGUUAAAGCACAAACAGUGAAGUACCGCCACCGGUCGACAGGGGCAGCACUUAAAAAAGACGGAAGAAUUGUAAACCGGAAGAUAACGUGUCCUCCCAGAGAGCACUCGGCGUCACACAUUUCAGUGUUUGAAGAGAGGAUCAAGAUACAGAUUUAAGACAAAAGUCAUCAAUUACGAUCGUUUAAAUAGCUUGCCCAGAGCACAGCAUCUCGUGCACAGCAUGAAGUUUUCAGCUAUCAAGAUUUCUAGAGGCUCCAGAAUGAAAACCAAGCCCUGCACUGCAAAAAUGAAAGUCUUGCUUGGUUUUCUUUUGUCUUGUUUUCUAAUAUUAGUAUCUGAAAAUUCUUAAAUUGAGACACUGACUUUGUAAGCAAGUGGCUUAAGAUAUUAAGUUUUGUUUAUUGAAAUAAAUUAUGAAAAUCGGGAGUUUUUUGUUACUUAAAACAAGUAAAAAAUUGCCUGUGCAGUAAGAAAAAUAAACUAAAUUCCAGUUUUUAACUUAAUCAACUUAAAUUAAGUUUAUUUUUCUUACUGCAUUGGCAGAUAUUUUGACUUGUUUUAAGUAAAAAGAAAAACUCUUGAUUUUUAUCAUUUAUUUCAAUAACAAGACUUAAUAUCUUAAGCCACUUGCUUACCAAGUCAAUGUAUCUCAAUUUGAGAAUUUUUAGAUAUUUAUAUUAGAAAACAAGACAAAAAAACUAGGUAAGACAAUCAUUUUUUGCAGUGUGAGGGUGAAGAACCAAGCCCCGAGGGAACGUAGUGAACGAGCAGCUUCGGAUGACAGCGGCUUACAUUUAAUGUUGCUUGACAACACUUUGAGGCAGGAUAAAAUGCUCCAGGAACAAGUUCUUUAGAGUAUCUUCUCUAAUCACCUUUCAAUUAAUACAACCUGGACUGGUGUAGGGAAUCAAGCAUGUUUUAGAGACCUGUUUCUGAAGACCAUUGUUCAAAGAGCCAUCCGAAAGAACCCGGCAACCCAGGAUGCCACUGAUGGGGCUGUCCAGGUUAAUGUUACGCGUAACCUGAAAGGAGCAUCUGACCGUGAAGGCGGAUAAAGGCGGCACACAGCUGAGAGGGACCCACAGCUGACCCCUUAAACCGAGGCUGACUACUGACACCCCAGCAUCACUGACAACUGGAACCCUUUCUUUAUCCUGCAGUCAGUAACAUCAAGAAGCCUGAAGUGUGACAGUACACUCAACCAAUCCACACUUUACUGUGAAAAUUACUUUU